rnacentral:lncRNA from 1 species
GCUGGAGAUGCCCAUCAGAGCUGCCCAGACCACGAGCCUUUGUUUUAUAGGGUGACAGCACCUAUGACAUGCAUUUGUUUCCUAAUAGGUCAUAAUAUUAGACUGUGACCUGGAGGACAGAGAAAACAUCUACCUUAAUUACUCCACUGCAAGCUUUAGGCGGAGGGGGAGGGAGAAGAAAGAGGAAGGAAGAAGGAGGGGAGAGAAAAAGAAAAAGAAAGGGAAGUAGAGAGUUUGCCAAGAGGAGAAAGAAUGAACAGAACAGAGCAGAAACUAAUGAAACCUAUUUUAAUUACUAAUACAGCCAUGGGUCACUUAACGACUGGGAUAUGUUCUGAGAAAUGCGUCAUUCUGGUGAUUUUGUCGCUGUGCGGAUGUCGUAGAGUGUGUUUACACUAACCUAGAUGGUCCAGCCUACUACACAGCAAGGCUACAUGGUACUCGCCUCACCUCACGCGAGCACAUGCGUUCCGUCAGUGACUUGAAACAUUGUUACACGGCGCAUAACCGCAGUAUACUGUGUGCCCGCUAAGCACCAAGCCUGGCUAAGCAAUUUAUAUACAUUCUCUCUUUUAAUCCUCACCUCUCAGUGGGUACUAAUUAUCCACAUUUUGCAGGUUGAAACUCAAGUUCCCAAAGAAUUGCUGUAUCGAGGAAAACAAAACCAAUAGUUCCCACGCAAUUAGAACGGCUCCUGAACCCUCAGGUGAGCUGACAGCCGUCUGAGAGCUUUGCACCUGUGUCAGCUCGCUACACCCUGACGGUGCCCCGAAGACGGACUCACUGUGAUUCUCCCCGUUUUACAGAUGAGGAAAUGGAGGCAAGAAGCCCUCAGCGCUCGCUGGAGGCAGAGCUGGAUUCGCACCCAGGCGGCACCACUCCAGCCACACGGCUUCUCGUCUCCUGAAGCCCCGCAGUGUGCCAGGCUCUCCACGUAUUUAAUCCCCCAGCUGUCCAGGGCCAGGAGAUCCCAGACUCUUCCAGGGUCACAGGAGGAAGGCCAGGUGAUUGCAACGUGGAAUCUCCUUUUUCCACCAGCUCGGAGUCCUCUGUUCCUGCAAAUCAGUGGAUCUCCACUCUUAGCUGCUAAUUCACACCCCCUGGGAGCUUUGAAAGCUGCUGAUGCCAGUGGAACCCGAACCUCUGGGGGUGGGGCCGAGGCACCAAGAUUUCCUAAAGCUGCCAAGGGAGAAUUGCCCUAUGAAAAGCAGGCACCCAGGUAAGUCUGAAUUUCAGAUAGAC